CCCGGAUGCACAGGUUGUUAGAAAGAUUCUUCGAACUCUUCCGGAAUGCUUUCGGGCAAAGGUUGCUGCGAUCGAAACCGUUAAGCAUCCGGACGAGAUGAAAGUAGAGGAAUUAGUAGGCGUUUUACAAACGUAUGAGAUAACUUUUCCUACUAAUCCAUCUUCUUUCAAGUCUUUUUCUAAAAGUACAGGGGUUGCACUCAAAUCGACAAAGUGAGAAGAUGACGACUCGGAUUCCGACGAAGAGAUCUCAAUUGCGGACUUUGAACAUCAACUUGCACUCCUCACAAAGAAGUUCCGACGGAAUUUU
rnacentral:lncRNA from 1 species